GACAGAGGAGCCAAGCGUUGUCCGGAAUCACUGGGCGUAAAGGGCGCGUAGGCGGCGCGGAUAGUCGGCGGUGAAAACCCGGAGCUCAACUCCGGGCCUGCAGUCGAUACGGGCAGACUGGAGUUCGGCAGGGGAGACUGGAAUCCUGGUGUAGCGGUGGAAUGCGCAGAGUAUCAGGAGGAACACCGGUGGCGAAGGCGGGUCUCUGGGCCGUUACUGACGCUGGAGGAGCGAAAGCGUGGGGAGCGA
rnacentral:rRNA from 1 species